rnacentral:rRNA from 1 species
UACAGAGGGGGCAAGCGUUGUUCGGAAUUACUGGGCGUAAAGAGUUCGUAGGUGGUUUGUUAAGUCUGAUGUUAAAGACUGGGGCUCAACCUCGGGACUGCAUUGGAUACUGGCAGACUUGAGUGCGGUAGAGGCAAGUGGAAUUCCAGGUGUAGCGGUGAAAUGCGUAGAUAUCUGGAAGAACACCGGUGGCGCAAGCGACUUGCUGGGCCGUAACUGACACUGAGGAACGAAAGCUAGGGAGCGAAUGGG